GAUGAACGCUGGCGGCGUGCCUAAUACAUGCAAGUCGAGCGAACAGACGAGGAGCUUGCUCCUCUGACGUUAGCGGCGGACGGGUGAGUAACACGUGGAUAACCUACCUAUAAGACUGGGAUAACUUCGGGAAACCGGAGCUAAUACCGGAUAAUAUAUUGAACCGCAUGGUUCAAUAGUGAAAGACGGUUUUGCUGUCACUUAUAGAUGGAUCCGCGCCGCAUUAGCUAGUUGGUAAGGUAACGGCUUACCAAGGCAACGAUGCGUAGCCGACCUGAGAGGGUGAUCGACCACACUGGAACUGAGACACGGUCCAGACUCCUACGGGAGGCAGCAGUAGGGAAUCUUCCGCAAUGGGCGAAAGCCUGACGGAGCAACGCCGCGUGAGUGAUGAAGGUCUUCUGAUCGUAAAACUCUGUUAUUAGGGAAGAACAAAUGUGUAAGUAACUAUGCACGUCUUGACGGUACCUAAUCAGAAAGCCACGGCUAACUACGUG
rnacentral:rRNA from 1 species